GAUGAACGCUGGCGGCGUGCCUAAUACAUGCAAGUCGAGCGAACAGACGAGGAGCUUGCUCCUCUGACGUUAGCGGCGGACGGGUGAGUAACACGUGGAUAACCUACCUAUAAGGCUGGGAUAAAUUAGGGAAACCGGAGCUAAUACCGGAUAAUAUAUUGAACCGCAUGGUUCAAUAGUGAAAGACGGUUUUGCUGUCACUUAUAGAUGGAUCCGCUUCGGAUUAGCUAGUUGGUCAGGUAACGGCUUACCAAGGCAACGAUGCGUAGCCGACCUGAGAGGGUGAUCGGCCACACUGGAACUGAGACACGGUCCAGACUCCUACGGGAGGCAGCAGUAGGGAAUCUUGCGCAAUGGGCGAAAGCCUGACGGAGCAACGCCGCGUGAGUGAUGAAGGUCUUCGGAUCGUAAAGCUCUGUUAUUAGGGAAGAACAAAUGUGUAAGUAACUAUGCACGUAUUGACGGUACCUAAUCAGAAAGCCACGGCUAACUACGUG
rnacentral:rRNA from 1 species